rnacentral:rRNA from 1 species
GAUGAACGCUGGCGGCGUGCCUAACACAUGCAAGUCGAACGGAGAUUACGGACGGAAGUUUUCGGAUGGAAGCCUGUAAUUCUUAGUGGCGGACGGGUGAGUAACGCGUGGGCAACCUGCCCUAUACAGGGGGAUAGCAGCUGGAAACGGCUGGUAAGACCGCAUAAGUCGGUUAAAUCGCAUGAUUUGAUCGGGAAAUGAGCAAUCAGGUAUAGGAUGGGCCCGCGUCCGAUUAGCCAGUUGGCAGGGUAAAAGCCUACCAAAGCGACGAUCGGUAGCCGGACUGAGAGGUCGGACGGCCACAUUGGGACUGAGACACGGCCCAAACUCCUACGGGAGGCAGCAGUGGGGGAUAUUGCACAAUGGAGGAAACUCUGAUGCAGCGACGCCGCGUGAGUGAAGAAGUAUUUCGGUAUGUAAAGCUCUAUCAGCAGGGAAGAUGAUGACGGUACCUGACUAA